rnacentral:rRNA from 1 species
GACGAACCGUGCGAACGUUGUUCGGAUUCACUGGGCUUAAAGGGCGCGUAGGCGGGCGGUCAAGUCUGUGGUGAAAUCCUUCGGCUCAACCGGAGAAUAGCUGGAGAUACUGGCCGUCUCGAGGGGGGUAGGGGCAUGUGGAACUUCCGGUGGAGCGGUGAAAUGCGUUGAGAUCGGAAGGAACGCCCGUGGCGAAAGCGACGUGCUGGACCUCUUCUGACGCUGAGGCGCGAAAGCCAGGGGAGCAAACGGG